UACGUAGGGUGCGAGCGUUGUCCGGAAUUAUUGGGCGUAAAGGGCUCGUAGGCGGUUUGUCGCGUCGGGAGUGAAAACCCAGGGCUUAACCCUGGGCUGGCUUUCGAUACGGGGCAGACUAGAGGUAUGCAGGGGAGAACGGAAUUCCUGGUGUAGCGGUGAAAUGCGCAGAUAUCAGGAGGAACACCGGUGGCGAAGGCGGCAUCCUGGACCGGUAUUGACGCUGAGGCGCGAAAGCCAGGGGAGCAAACGGGG
rnacentral:rRNA from 1 species